rnacentral:rRNA from 1 species
UACGUAGGUGACAAGCGUUGUCCGGAUUUACUGGGCGUAAAGAGCGCGCAGGCGGUCGAUCAAGUCGAGUGUGAAAGCCCCCGGCUCAACUGGGGAGGGUCAUUCGAUACUGAUCGACUCGAAGGCAGGAGAGGGUAGUGGAAUUCCCGGUGUAGUGGUGAAAUGCGUAGAUAUCGGGAGGAACACCAGUGGCGAAGGCGACUACCUGGCCUGUUCUUGACGCUGAGGAGCGAAAGCGUGGGGAGCGAACAGG